rnacentral:rRNA from 1 species
CAGCAGCCACGGUAAUACGAAGGGUGCAAGCGUUAAUCGGAAUUACUGGGCGUAAAGCGUGCGCAGGCGGUUUGUUAAGUCUGUUGUGAAAUCCCCGGGCUCAACCUGGGAAUGGCAAUGGAUACUGGCAAGCUAGAGUGUGUCAGAGGAUGGUGGAAUUCCCGGUGUAGCGGUGAAAUGCGUAGAGAUCGGGAGGAACAUCAGUGGCGAAGGCGGCCAUCUGGGACAACACUGACGCUGAGGCACGAAAGCGUGGGGAGCAAACAGGAUUAGAUACCCCGGUAGUCCCUGUCUCUUAUAC